rnacentral:lncRNA from 1 species
GGCUGACCACACUACCGCUCUAGGCUAACGCCUGUCUCAAUCGUCCGUCGGAUCCACAAUUCUAUCAAAAUGUGCACUCUCUGCCAUUUUAAUAAUACCUAAUUUACUUGAUUCUCUUAUCAAAACUUUUACAACUGAUCACUAUGAAUACAACUGAAAACUGGAAAGGAUCGACUGACUUUAAAGAAACAGUUGUUUACAAUCAUCUAAUACUAAUCUGUAAGUACUGUCUGUCCAAAUUAGUUGUGUGGGUUCAGACUGUGCAUGACUUAUCUAGACUGGUCUGUUGUGUAAAAACAGGAACAUUUAUUGUUAAGUUGAUGGGUAAACAUCAGCUUAGAAAAAGAAAAUU